AUUGAACGCUGGCGGCAUGCCUUACACAUGCAAGUCGAACGGCAGCACGGGUGCUUGCACCUGGUGGCGAGUGGCGAACGGGUGAGUAACAUAUCGGAACGUACCUUAUUGUGGGGGAUAACGCAGCGAAAGCUGUGCUAAUACCGCAUAAUCCCUAAGGGGGAAAGCGGGGGACCGUAAGGCCUCGCGCAAUUAGAGCGGCCGAUACCUGAUUAGCUAGUUGGUGAGGUAAAGGCUCACCAAGGCAACGAUCAGUAGCUGGUCUGAGCGGACGAUCAGCCACACUGGGACUGAGACACGGCCCAGACUCCUACGGGAGGCAGCAGUGGGGAAUUUUGGACAAUGGGGGCAACCCUGAUCCAGCAAUGCCGCGUGAGGGAAGAAGGCCUUCGGGUUGUAAAGCUCUUUUGUCAGGGAAGAAACAGCAGCUCUAACACAGUAUGCGAAUGACGGUACCUGAAGAAUAAGCACCGGCUAACUACGUGCCAGCAGCCGCCGUAA
rnacentral:rRNA from 1 species